CAAGCGAAUAAGUGCACAUGGUGGAUGCCUUGGCGAUUACAGGCGAUGAAGGACGUAGUAGCUUGCGAUAAGCUGCGGGGAGUGAGCAAACACACUUUGAUCCGCAGAUUUCCGAAUGGGGCAACCCACCCUUUUAGGGUAUUGCAUACUGAAUACAUAGGUAUGCAAGGCGAACGCGGCGAACUGAAACAUCUAAGUAGCUGCAGGAAAAGAAAUCAACCGAGAUUCCCAAAGUAGCGGCGAGCGAAAUGGGAAGAGCCUGUACGUGAUAGUCGGACCGAUAACAGAAUCCUCUGGAAAUAGGAGCCAUAGCGGGUGAUAGCCCCGUAUGUGAAAUCGGACCGGUGGUACUAAGCGUACGACAAGUAGGGCGGGACACGUGACAUCCUGUCUGAAUAUGGGGGGACCAUCCUCCAAGGCUAAAUACUCGUAAUCGACCGAUAGUGAACCAGUACCGUGAGGGAAAGGCGAAAAGAACCCCGGAAGGGGAGUGAAAUAGAUCCUGAAACCGUGUGCAUACAAACAGUAGGAGCGGACUUGUUCCGUGACUGCGUACCUUUUGUAUAAUGGGUCAGCGACUUACAUUCAGUGGCAAGGUUAACCAUAUAGGGAAGCCGUAGAGAAAUCGAGUCCGAAUAGGGCGAUCAGUCGCUGGGUGUAGACCCGAAACCAAGUGAUCUACUCAUGGCCAGGAUGAAGGUGCGGUAACACGCCCUGGAGGUCCGAACCCACUAAUGUUGAAAAAUUAGGGGAUGAGCUGUGGGUAGGGGUGAAAGGCUAAACAAACUUGGAAAUAGCUGGUUCUCUCCGAAAACUAUUUAGGUAGUGCCUCAAGUAUCACCAUCGGGGGUAGAGCACUGUUAUGGCUAGGGGGUCAUUGCGACUUACCAAACCAUUGCAAACUCCGAAUACCGAUGAGUGCGAGCUUGGGAGACAGACGUCGGGUGCUAACGUCCGGCGUCAAGAGGGAAACAACCCAGACCGCCAGCUAAGGUCCCAAAGAUUGGCUAAGUGGAAAACGAAGUGGGAAGGCUAAAACAGUCAGGAUGUUGGCUUAGAAGCAGCCAUCAUUUAAAGAAAGCGUAAUAGCUCACUGAUCGAGUCGUCCUGCGCGGAAGAUGUAACGGGGCUAAGCCAGUCACCGAAGCUGCGGAUAUUGUUCUGUGAUUUAUCACAGAUAUAUAUGGUAGGAGAGCGUUCUGUAAGCCUGCGAAGGUGUCUUGUAAAGGAUGCUGGAGGUAUCAGAAGUGCGAAUGCUGACAUGAGUAGCGAUAAUGGGGGUGAAAAGCCUCCACGCCGUAAGCCCAAGGUUUCCUGUUCAACGUUCAUCGGAGCAGGGUGAGUCGGCCCCUAAGGCGAGGCAGAGAUGCGUAGCUGAUGGGAAGCAGGUUAAUAUUCCUGCACCGUCGUAUGAUGCGAUGGGGGGACGGAUCGCGGAAGGUUGUCCAACUGUUGGAAUAGUUGGUUUUUGGCUCAUAGAAGGCACUUAGGCAAAUCCGGGUGCGCAAUUCAAGGGGUUGAGACGAGUGAACUUGUUCACGAAGCAAUCGGAAGUGGUUCCAAGAAAAGCCUCUAAGCUUCAGUCAUACGAGACCGUACCGCAAACCGACACAGGUGGGCGAGAUGAGUAUUCUAAGGCGCUUGAGAGAACUCGGGAGAAGGAACUCGGCAAAUUGGUACCGUAACUUCGGGAAAAGGUACGCCCCGGUAGCUUGAUUGGUUUACUCCAUGAGGGUGAAAGGGUUGCAAUAAACUGGUGGCUGCGACUGUUUAAUAAAAACACAGCACUCUGCAAACACGAAAGUGGACGUAUAGGGUGUGACGCCUGCCCGGUGCUGGAAGAUUAAAUGAUGGGGUGCAAGCUCUUGAUUGAAGUCCCAGUAAACGGCGGCCGUAACUAUAACGGUCCUAAGGUAGCGAAAUUCCUUGUCGGGUAAGUUCCGACCUGCACGAAUGGCGUAACGAUGGCCACACUGUCUCCUCCCGAGACUCAGCGAAGUUGAAAUGUUUGUGAUGAUGCAAUCUACCCGCGGCUAGACGGAAAGACCCCAUGAACCUUUACUGUAGCUUUGCAUUGGACUUUGAACCAAUCUGUGUAGGAUACGUUGGACGCUUUAAAUCUAAU
rnacentral:rRNA from 1 species